AUUGAACGCUGGCGGCAUGCUUUACACAUGCAAGUCGAACGGUAACAGGCCGCAAGGUGCUGACGAGUGGCGAACGGGUGAGUAAUGCAUCGGAACGUGCCCAGUCGUGGGGGAUAACGCAGCGAAAGCUGCGCUAAUACCGCAUACGAUCUCUGGAUGAAAGCGGGGGACCGAAAGGCCUCGCGCGAUUGGAGCGGCCGAUGUCAGAUUAGGUAGUUGGUGGGGUAAAGGCCCACCAAGCCAACGAUCUGUAGCUGGUCUGAGAGGACGACCAGCCACACUGGGACUGAGACACGGCCCAGACUCCUACGGGAGGCAGCAGUGGGGAAUUUUGGACAAUGGGCGCAAGCCUGAUCCAGCAAUGCCGCGUGCAGGAAGGAGGCCUGCGGGUUGUAAACUGCUUUUGUACGGAACGAAACGGUCCGGGUUAAUACCCUGGGCUAAUGACGGUACCGUAAGAAUAAGCACCGGCUAACUACGUGCCAGCAGCCGCCGUAAUAC
rnacentral:rRNA from 1 species